rnacentral:rRNA from 1 species
UACAGAAAAUGUAAAUGAAUUUUAUUGGUAAAUAAUUAGAUGUUUUAUAUAUAAAUUAAUUUAAUAUUUUUUAGGUGAAAUUUAAAAUAUUAUUAUAUUUUAUAAUAAAUAUUUUGUUAUUAUGAAAUUUUUAUUUAAACUA